GGGGCUGAAUCAGUUUCGACGGGGGAGGUAUUGGCAAGAGAAGCGAGCCGGUGUUCCAUCAGACCGUAAAUCGUUGGAAACUUUUUAUUUGCCAAACCGAAUUACGCUUUAGCAGCUUAAUUGCUGUCUAACCCAGUUGCGGCUUUGCUCGUAGGGCCGUAUCUGGGUCAUCAAUACGAGCUUACUGCGGCGGGAGCUUCCCGACCCGCUGCGGGACAUUCAAGGGAAUGGCAAGGCCGCAGGCUGUUUGUAGCCGUCGGCUGAGCGAGAGCUAAAUUACAAACUGCGCUCGGAGACGCUCUUGUGGAUCCUUUUUCGGACGGGGGUGCAACUCCCCCCAGCUCCACCA
rnacentral:tmRNA from 1 species